rnacentral:rRNA from 1 species
GGCUCAGGAUGAACGCUAGCUACAGGCUUAACACAUGCCAGUCGAGGGGAAACGAUAGAGAAAGCUUGCUUUUUCUAGGCGUCGACCGGCGCACGGGUGAGUAACGCGUAUCCAACCUGCCCAUCACUUGGGGAUAACCUUGCGAAAGUAAGACUAAUACCCAAUGAUGUCUCAAGAAGGCAUCUGAAUGAGAUUAAAGAUUUAUCGGUGAUGGAUGGGGAUGCGUCUGAUUAGCUUGUUGGCGGGGUAACGGCCCACCAAGGCGACGAUCAGUAGGGGUUCUGAGAGGAAGGUCCCCCACAUUGGAACUGAGACACGGUCCAAACUCCUACGGGAGGCAGCAGUGGGGAAUAUUGGUCAAUGGGCGAGAGCCUGAACCAGCCAAGUAGCGUGCAGGAUGACGGCCCUAUGGGUUGUAAACUGCUUUUAUAAGGGAAUAAAGUGAGUCUCGUGAGACUUUUUGCAUGUACCUUAUGAAUAAGGACCGGCUAAUUCCGUGCCAGC